CAGGUGAUACUAAAAUCAGACUAUGCUGCAUGAGAACAACUACCCUCCUCCAAAAGACCCUCACCACGCUAUUUUUCACCUCGUGGAAUCCAGGAGCUGACUGAGUUGGCUUGGCUGUACAUAGGAGGAAGACCCUGAUCCCUGGUGCUCAACACAAAAAUGCUUCAAUGAUCCCCUGAGAUUGUUUUACCUUGCAACACUCUCUGGAAAAUUGCUGCUCCAGGAAUGCGAUGAAAAGAUCUGUAAGAGAGCACAGCCCCUGUUGAUUGACUUGUCUUGAUCAAACCAGAGCUUCUGGCUGGGAUACUGGUAUCUUGAGUGAGUCACAGCAGGAGAUACGUGCUGGAGCUGAGGAGGUUGGAGAGGCAGCAGAAAAGGUAGGAGACAGCAAGAGAAGGAGAGCAGCCUACAGAUGAGAAG